GCGUGUAGCUCAGAUGGUUAGAGCGCUACACUGAUAAUGUAGAGGUCCCAAGUUCAAUUCUUGGCACGC
rnacentral:tRNA from 1 species